UCCCGGCCACUCCGGUGAGAUGCUGGAAAUGCAAGCCCAGCAGAUACAAUGGCUGUGAGUCACAGUAAAGCACCAGCUGUCAAGUACUCAGGGGGGAAGCUGAAGCCAGGAGACUCACUGAGCUGAGCAAGAAGCAGGGCCAUCCUGUUGUGCAAAAGACAAAGAGCAGAGUGUUCAGAUCCCAGGAUCAGGUUUCUCAUAAUGGAAGCCAGAGCUGUGCGCUGAGCUUCAGGCUGUGCUCCAAGGUCGGGGGACAAAACCCUGCCUCUUCCGUUCCAGGAGGAUGCCACCCAAACACACCCAUUCCUCCCAGGCCAGGGCCAGCGGGGAUCUGCCUCUGCCCGUGAAAAAUUGGGUGAGCAGCCCAGCACCUGUCAGGGGCCCAGCACUUCAGCUACAGCCUCCCAGGCUUGGAAAUCUGGGCUCUGUUUUCCGAGGGUGCUCUGUGCUAGCAAACCUCUCUGAACAGCUACAAGCUCUUGGCUCCUAAAUGUUUCCAGUUUAACUGGCCUGGCCCGUGCCUGAGGCCUUGUGUUCAAGAUCCCAGCUCUAAAGAAAGAAAAGAAAUGAAAAGGCACUCGAGAGCCUCCCCACUUCCUGGGGAGAGUGGAUGAGAACUUCAAAGCUGACAAGGCCGCAGCUGAGAAGAGCUGGCUUGCUUCAAAGACCGUGUCUCCUCCGGGUCUGGAGCUCUUGGUGAAUGUCUCUCCCUGCUUCUGAAACAAAAUGAAGAGCUGCUGAAGUUUACGAGGUCCCCAGAGACAUUUCUGUGUGCGUCGCUCUAACAGAGGACCCCUGCGUCUGCACAGCAAGGUCCCUAAGCUCCCCUUGGCAGGGAUGCUCUCUGUGUUUUAUGCCUCUUUGAUGCCUCUGCCCUCUUUCCGGCUGGCCCUCUGGCUGCCCCUGCAUCCUCCGUCUUCUCCACCUGCCCUCUAUCCCUCCUGCAUCCCUGUUUUAAGCAGCAGCCCCUUUUCCACUGAGGAGACAUGGGUGGAAGAGGAGUUACAGUUGGGGGUUGGAGGGCGAUAUGAUUUUUUUUUUUUUUUUUUUUGCGGCACGCGGGCCUCUCACUGUUGCGGCCUCUCCCAUUGCGGAGCACGGUCUCCAGACGCGCAGGCUCAGCAGCCAUGGCUCAUGGGCCCAGCCGCACCACGGCACGUGGGAUCUUCCCGGACCGGGGCACGAACCUGUGUCCCCUGCAUCGGCAGGCAGACUCUCAACCACUGCGCCACCAGGGAAGCCCCUAUAUGAUUUUUGUAUGCUAUUCCAGAAUAGGUUUGUGGUUAUUUUAAUUAAAAAAAAAUAAUUAAUGUUCCCUCCGAAUCUUUGAGGAUCUUUGAUUGCAGGAAGCUGUGGACCAUGCUAAGCCCAUGGCUCUCUGAUGGUUACCCGCCUCGGCAGGCUGCUGCUUACACUGGGAUAUAACAACCAGGACAUGAGAAGCAAGGGUAAUUUGGAUUUUUACUUUUUAGCAAGGAUCUCUUUCCACUGAAACUGUAAAACUCUAGAAGGCAGGGGCUCUCUGACAUUGAACCUCAUGGUCUUGUGAUAAUGCCUGGAAAACAGUAACUGUUCUCAGAAGAUGUGUGUUUGUUAAGUUCCUGUCAUUCCUUAAAAAAAAAAAAAAGAUUAAAGAAGUCACUCUGUGUUCUCAA